GUACUUACUUGGCAGGGAGGUACCAUGAUCAUGAAGGUUUUCCCACUGCGAGGCUUAUCCACUGCACCCUGGAUGUGCUGACCCCUGCGAUUUCCCCAAAAUGUGGGAAAUUCAGCUGCAUAAUUUGUGGUAAUGGGGGACUGCAUUCCCGCUCUCCCCUG